rnacentral:rRNA from 1 species
UACAGGGGGUGCAAACGUUGCUCGGAAUCAUUGGGCGUAAAGCGCACGUAGGCGGUUCGUUAUGUCGGAUGUGAAAGCCCUUGGCUUAACCGAGGAAGUGCAUCCGAAACUGGCGAGCUAGAGUACGAAAGAGGAUCGCGGAAUUCCCGGUGUAGAGGUGAAAUUCGUAGAUAUCGGUAGGAACACCGGUGGCGAAGGCGGCGACCUGGUCCUUAACUGACGCUGAGGCGCGAAAGCGUGGGGAGCAAACAGG